rnacentral:rRNA from 1 species
CUUGCUUCUCUUGAGAGCGGCGGACGAGGUGAGUAAUGCCUAGGAAUCUGCCUGGUAGUGGGGGAUAACGUCCGGAAACGGACGCUAAUACCGCAUACGUCCUACGGGAGAAAGCAGGGGACCUUCGGGCCUUGCGCUAUCAGAUGAGCCUAGGUCGGAUUAGCUAGUUGGUGGGGUAAUGGCUCACCAAGGCGACGAUCCGUAACUGGUCUGAGAGGAUGAUCAGUCACACUGGAACUGAGACACGGUCCAGACUCCUACGGGAGGCAGCAGUGGGGAAUAUUGGACAAUGGGCGAAAGCCUGAUCCAGCCAUGCCGCGUGUGUGAAGAAGGUCUUCGGAUUGUAAAGCACUUUAAGUUGGGAGGAAGGGCAGUAAAUUAAUACUUUGCUGUUUUGACGUUACCGACAGAAUAAGCACCGGCUAACUCUGUGCCAGCAGCCGCGGUAAUACAGAGGGUGCAAGCGUUAAUCGGAAUUACUGGGCGUAAAGCGCGCGUAGGUGGUUCGUUAAGUUGGAUGUGAAAUCCCCGGGCUCAACCUGGGAACUGCAUUCAAAACUGACGAGCUAGAGUAUGGUAGAGGGUGGGUGGAAUU